GUUGUUUAGGAAUCAGGCAAUUCAUGCAGUUGCAGCUGCUUUAACCAUCGCCACAGCAGGGAAUCUUGCCUACCUAAAUGCUACAGCCUGUAGUCAUCUGAGACGUCCCACAGCAACUCACAGGCACUCAGCUCAGCGGCGAUCCUGGAAAUCAGACAGACUGCAGACGCCUCGUACGGACAGAUUUCAACAAGUAAACAAAUGCUGCUUUGCUCAGAAUUAGUUUACAGCUGAACUUUCUCAUCAUUUCUCAUCAUGAGAGAGGCCAGGAUCGUAGGUAAGCCUCUGAGUAAAAGGUUUCCAUCCACCUUCCCUCACCCCGAGUGAAUAAUUUACACUUACCUAAUCAGGCUCGAUCUGAAAGCUGAAAGGGGUCACAGGCCAACAUGGACUAAAAGGUUAGACACAGAUUAGUGAAAGCAGUUCAUCCUAAUCACAUUUUCAGUGUUGACUCACGGACAAUCCCUUUUCCUCCACCUCCCAUCGCCAAACACAGGAAAGCAGCAGCCCAGCAACCACGACAUGAGAAUUAAGCUUUAACCCAGUGUUCAGGAUUCAAAGCGAGCAGCGGCGAGGCGGUCCAGAGGCAGGGAUGCCGCGGAGAAACCCCGAUGCCAGCAGCACAGUCAUCGCGGCGAACUUGGACUGGAUUUCCUCAGGGAAAAAAAAAAUAAAAAAGAGGGAAUGGGAAAAAACAAUGAUAAUCCAGCUGCGGAGCGCUCAGGCUGUGCUGCGUGCAGCCCCCGCGCCCCGCAGUCUUUCCGUGGGUGGCCCCGCUACCAUCAGCGCCGCGCUCCCCAACUCGGCCUCCUUCCUGCCCCGGUGGAGGCCGGAGCGUUUGCUGCAUCAAAAAUCCCACC